rnacentral:rRNA from 1 species
UGCAGAAUCCCGCGAACCAUCGAGUCUUUGAACGCAAGUUGCGCCCGAGGCCUCUUGGUUGAGGGCACGCCUGCCUGGGCGUCACGCCAAAUACGCUCCCACCACCUCAUCGGGUAGUAGGAUGCGGCUUGUGGCUCCCCGUCACGCAAGUUACGGUGGGCCGAAGAUGUGGCUGCCGGCGUAUCGUGUCGGACACAGCGCGUGGUGGGCGACCUCGCUUUACUUACCGCAGUGUAUCCGACCCGUAGUCGACGUCAUGGCCUCAAAUGACCCUAUGGACGGAGCGCAUAACGCUUCGACCGCGACCCCAGGUCAGGCGGGACUACCCGCUGAGUUUAAGCAUAUAAAUAAGCGGAGGAGAAGAAACUUACAAGGAUUCCCCUAGUAACGGCGAGCGAACCGGGAGCAGCCCAGCUUGAGAAUCGGGCGGCCAUGCCGUCCGA